rnacentral:rRNA from 1 species
UUUUCGGAGAGUUUGAUCCUGGCUCAGAGUGAACGCUGGCGGCGUGGAUUAGGCAUGCAAGUCGCGCGAUACUUAGUGAUGAGAGGUUGAAACCGCAAGGCGGAUGCCGAUUUGAUCUAGGAUAUAGCGGCAAACGGGUGAGUAACGCGUGAGUAACCUACCUCAAUACCGGGGAUAGCUUUGCGAAAGUAAGGGUAAUACCCGAUGUGUCUUUCCUGUAAUUGGGAAAAGGUAAAGCCUUAGCGUAAGCUAGGGUGUAUAGAGAUGGGCUCGCGUCCUAUCAGCUAGUUGGUAGGGUAAUGGCCUACCAAGGCGAUUGACGGGUAGCUGGUCUGAGAGGAUGGUCAGCCACACGGGGACUGAGAUACUGCCCCGACUCCUACGGGAGGCUGCAGUCGAGAAUCUUUAGCAAUGGA